rnacentral:rRNA from 1 species
GAUGAACGCUGGCGGCGUGCCUAAUACAUGCAAGUCGAGCAACGGACGAGAAGCUUGCUUUUCUGAUGUUAGCGGCGGACGGGUGAGUAACACGUGGAUAACCUACCUAUAAGACUGGGAUAACUUCGGGAAACCGGAGCUAAUACCGGAUAAUAUUUUGAACCGCAUGGUUCAAAAGUGAAAGACGGUCUUGCUGUCACUUAUAGAUGGAUCCGCGCUGCAUUAGCUAGUUGGUAAGGUAACGGCUUACCAAGGCAACGAUGCAUAGCCGACCUGAGAGGGUGAUCGGCCACACUGGAACUGAGACACGGUCCAGACUCCUACGGGAGGCAGCAGUAGGGAAUCUUCCGCAAUGGGCGAAAGCCUGACGGAGCAACGCCGCGUGAGUGAUGACGGUCUUCGGAUCGUAAAACUCUGUUAUUAGGGAAGAACAUAUGUGUAAGUAACUGUGCACAUCUUGACGGUACCUAAUCAGAAAGCCACGGCUAACUACGUG